rnacentral:lncRNA from 1 species
ACGUCUGGAUACUUUGCAUUUUCUUGUAUAGACAAAGAUAUAAUUUCAGGAGCUAGGUGUAAUUGAUCAUUUUUACUGUUUUUAUCUCAGUAUUUUACAGAAUUGCAUGGCAGUGAACACACUAGAUUCCUAGUAGUUUGAUACCUCUGGUCAGGUGUGUGUAUCAGAGUGUGUAGAGUGUUCCUUCAAUGUCAGCACAAGAGGAGUUCUUACUUUGAACUGGAUACUUCUUUAUUCCUGAGCAGCAGCAUCCCAGCCUGUUCAUCAACAUCUUCCAUUCUUCAUGCUACACCACCUGUUUUGUUUGCCAGUGUGUGGGUGGGGGAGGGGAGUAUUACUUAGAGUGUAUCACAGAUCCCUUUGAGAAUUCAUGAAAAACACUAAAAGUGUUACUUUUGCUCUUGUUGCUAAUAGACUUUUGUACUCGAUAUAGAAGAAUUGCCUAUACAGAAUUUAGGUACUCUAGAGUAGCUGACAUUAGUCAGUGAUGGGGUGAUGAGGGGAGGUGGGUCGUAAAUGAGAUGGAAAUAUCUAAGAUUUCGUGAGGCACACCUGCAAAGGUAUAGAAUUGGUUCCUUUUAUUUUCCUGUUGUUUUUUUCUGUUAGAGUAAAUUGGAGAAAGUACAGGUGACAGUGAAAGAUAAACUCUAGUGUGCAUACAGGAUGCAUGAAGAUACAUCACACAUCUUUCUUAGUUCAAAAGACUGUAGUAGAAAAUUUUCACAUAAAAAUUGUACUAAAGUGGUUAAGUACAGUUUGGGUUUAUGUAAUUACUGGAAUGGAAUUCUUUUGGAGAGACUAACAUUUUACUUAAGAUUCAAAGUUAGCCUUUUCAGUAUUGAUCAUCACAUUUGACUUAAGUGCUCAUCUGCUAGUGGUGAUCUGUAAUGAGAUUUUAUGUAUUUAAUCUUGGAAGAUGUCCUUUCACAGUUAGAGCCACCAAAUAUUAACAGUAGUCUAUAAGCAUAUGAUUUUAAUUGAGCAUAUUCAUUACUUAGAACACAUUUAUACAAUUAUUUAGACAUUUGUCUUUUAACAUGCUGUGUUACAUAUGAUUUUCACAGCUGGGUGAAAGCUGCUUAGCUAUACGGUAAACCCAAUUUUAAUGUGGAAAUUGCUUUUGCACCUAAGGUCUGAAGGAGGCUGUACCUUGAAUUAAGAAACAAUUUGCUGUAGAUGUAUGAGAAUAAAGAUCUAACUUAUUUUGACUUUUGAUAGCAUGGGAAAUGAAAAUGCUAUUGUUAAAAUGACAUGCACUAUGUUUGCAAACUGUGGUGGGGGAGUUGUUAAAGUUUGAAGUUGAACUUGUUAAGUAGCAUUAAGUUCUGGGUAGUGAGGUCACACAUAUGUACCUGUAACUCAGUAGUCUGAGGUAGGAAGAUCUUGAAGUCAGUGUAGAUUACAUAUCCAGACCCUACCUAAAACUAUUCUGUAGUGGUAAUGAUUAAGAAUAAUUUUCAUGGGUUGAAAAGAUUAGCAGUUAUGAACACGUGCUGUUCUUACACAAGAUCUAUAUUUGGUUCCCAGCACCCAACUUCCAGUAACUCCGAUGCUAAGGGAUGCCACACCUCUGGUCUCCGUAGUACUUGCACUCAUAUGCUCAUAACCUACACACAGAUACAUUUAUUCGCAUAAAAUAAUUUUCAUUCCGAAACCUUUAUUAAGUUAAAAUUACUGCCAUAAUCACAAAACUAGAAAUGGUUAAGUUUAUGAGGACAAAAGAAAUUGGUUACUGAUACUACUGGUUUGAUAACAUGAUAGGUUAAGGUAUUUUUCUGCAGAGUAACUAUCAUAGGUUUUUAAAGAGCCUUUACAUUUUCACAAACUUUAUAGUUUGUCCAACUAAGGCCUUUCCCCCUCCCCAUUUUAUUUUUACCACCAUUGGGUCUGCUAUUAGUUAUACUGAGUUGUUUUUUCUCAGCUUCUUUGAAAGCAUUCUUGCUGUAGUUCCACACUGGCUAUCCUAGAGGCUAACUUUGCAGUCUCAGUUUGAACACUAGCUCCUCAAACAGUUUAGAGUGUUAGUAACAACUGCCAACUAACCAGGACUAUGAAAAAACACUCAAAGCCAGCUUUUUAAUUGUUGAUAUUGUCCUCAGUUUCCUUAAUUGGCUGAUAGUCUUUAAAAUUGUCUCAAGAUAUUUUUUUAAAGAGCAUCCCAAUCAAACAUUGACCUAACAUUGGUAAAAGAGCUUACCUCAGUUGGCUGACACUUGAAAAUUCCUUUUUGAAUUCCAAGUUUGAGGCCAGCCAGAACUACGUGGUGUGACCCUGACUCAAAAACAAAACUAAGCAACCAAACACAUGAAGAAUGCUACCAGAGCUACCAGUCAUGCCCUUUAGGUAACAACAGAAAGGAUAAUGGCCCAUCUGUCACCGAAACUACGAAAUCCCAAACCGAAUGGCUUUUAAACAGC